UACGAAGGGGGCUAGCGUUGUUCGGAUUUACUGGGCGUAAAGCGCACGUAGGCGGAUCUUUAAGUCAGAGGUGAAAUCCCAAGGCUCAACCUUGGAACUGCCUUUGAUACUGGGGAUCUUGAGUCCGGGAGAGGUGAGUGGAACUGCGAGUGUAGAGGUGAAAUUCGUAGAUAUUCGCAAGAACACCAGUGGCGAAGGCGGCUCACUGGCCCGGUACUGACGCUGAGGUGCGAAAGCCAGGGGAGCAAACGGG
rnacentral:rRNA from 1 species